GAGCUGAGAUUAGGGUAGAGGGACCACGGGGACAGCUACAGGGCUGGGGCAGGACUAUCAGGGCUGCAGAUGGAAAUAGGUGGGGUGAACAAAUGAGGCAAAGGGGAAGGGGU